rnacentral:rRNA from 1 species
AGCUCACCUUAAGUUUUUUUAUUAAACUAAACAGACCCUCAGACUUAAGAGCUAUUCAAAUAAGGCACAGCUUAUUUGAAAUAGGAUACAACCUACAACAUAGGGUAAACAAGAGUUACUUAAAUAAAGUGGGCCUAAAAGCAGCCAUCUUUAAAAAAGCGUUAAAGCUUAACUACCCUCUACUCACAAUACCUAAAACCUUCACUAACCCCUCACCACUAUUGAACAAUUUUAUACUUAUAUAAAAGCUAUUAUGCUAGAACUAGUAACAAGAAAUUGCCCUUCUCCUAAAUGUAAGCAUACACCAAAAUAAACUCUGUUGGUCAUUAACGUAAAUGCUAAACUAUAGUAACACUCACUAGAAAACCCUAUAAUUCCCAACGUUAACCUUACACCAGAACAUUACAGGAAAGAUUAAAAGAAAAAGAAGGAACUCGGCAAAUCUUAGCCUCGCCUGUUUACCAAAAACAUCGCCUCUUGCAAAACAUAAGAGGUCCAGCCUGCCCAGUGACAAAGUUCAACGGCCGCGGUACCCUAACCGUGCGAAGGUAGCAUAAUCACUUGUUCUUUAAAUGAGGACUAGUAUCAACGGCACUACGAGGGCUAUACUGUCUCCUUUUUCUAAUCAGUGAAACUGAUCUCCCCGUGAAGAAGCGGGGAUCAAAAUAUAAGACGAGAAGACCCCAUGGAGCUUUAAACUCUCUGUGCACUUCUAUGCUCCCGCACCAUCAGACAUAAGAAAACUGCACACUAGUUUUAGGUUGGGGGGACCACGGAGUACAAUUUAACCUCCAUAACAAAUGGGUUAGUCACCCUUAUCCACGAGACACAUCUCUAAGAAUUAUUAUACUAAUGCUUAUGACCCGAUAUUCGAUCAAUGGACCAAGUUACCCUGGGGAUAACAGCGCAAUCUACUUCAAGAGCCCAUAUCGACAAGUAGGUUUACGACCUCGAUGUUGGAUCAGGGUAUCCCGGUGGUGCAGCCGCUACCAAUGGUUCGUUUGUUCAACGAUUAAAACCCUACGUGAUCUG